CGAGAAGUUAAAAAUCUUUGAUCGACUUAUAUUAAAACUCGAUCUCUGAUCAGCCUCAAGAAGUUAAAAGCCUUUGAUCGGCUUAUAUUGAAACUUGGCCUCUGAUCGAUCUUGAGAUGUUAAAAGCCUUUGAUCGACUUAUAUUUGAAACUCAGUCUCUGAUCGACCUCGAGAUGUUAAAAGCUUUUGAUCGGCUUAUAUUUGAACUUGAUCUCUGAUCGACCUCGAUAUGUUAAAAAUAUUUGAUCGACUUAUAUUUGAACUCGGCCU
rnacentral:lncRNA from 1 species